GUUUACGGCCAUGCUACCCUGAAGAUCUCAGAAGCUAAGCAGGGUUGGGCCUGGUUAGUACUUGGAUAGGAGAUUACCUAGGAAGACCAGUUGCUGUAGGUG
rnacentral:rRNA from 1 species